CGUGUAGGCGGUCGUGUAAGUCGGAUGUGAAAGCCCGGGGCUCAACCCCGGAAUUGCACUCGAUACUGCAUGACUAGAGUCCCGGAGAGGAUGGCGGAAUUCCCGGUGUAGAGGUGAAAUUCGUAGAUAUCGGGAGGAACACCAGUGGCGAAGGCGGCCAUCUGGACGGUGACUGACGCUGAGACGCGAAAGCGUGGGGAGCAAACAGGAUUAGAUACCCUGGUAGUCC
rnacentral:rRNA from 1 species